UGAAGCACCGUUUCCCAUAAGAACACUGAAGUUAAGCUAACUGAACCUGGUCAGUAGUUAUAUGGGUGACUGCUUGGGAAUAUCAGGGGUUGU